rnacentral:lncRNA from 1 species
GACGGAAGAAUAAGUUUCAGUGAGUUCACCUGCCUGCUAGAGAACGCUUUAUAGCUUCUUCUUCUUCUUCUUCUCGUUGCAGUGCCAUUAAAAUCAUCAGAACAAUAUUAAUUGUUAAUAGACUCAUUACAAUACAACAUUAAGUUGAUAUCUAUCAAUAAUAAUGGAAGAGUCGUAUAUAUUGUUUCUCACAACGUCAAACCGGUCAGUGACAAGUGUGUCUCUCAUGGGACAAACAUGCAUCCCUCUUCCAUGGAUUCGUGUUACCGAUGGCGAUGCCAUGGAUCGCAAAGCAGAACUCGAAUUCCAUGACCAAGUUUGACAACCGCUACAUGACAGUGAGAGAGCAAAGUAAUCAAUCACAUGCAGAGCGAAGUGUCAAAGUAGAGAAGAAAUCUGCACCUGAGGAAGUAGAGGAGUAGGUCAGGGAGGUGACUCAUCGUGACGUUGGUACGUGGAUAUAUCUCUCUAUGCCUGAGAGCAAGGAACCCCACACUGGUAUUUCUAAUCGGCAAGGAUCAUCACCUCAUGUUCCUGUGCUUAAUAUCCUAUCGUAGUUAUCGAUUUUUGAUAGACUGGUGCAUGAUGUCAAAAGAGGUUAGUAAUCCUCUUAAUGAAUGCUGUAGGUGCUAACUAGUCUAGCCGAUAAAGAAUUUAUAGAUCAUUACAAGAUCUUAAACUCAAAUCUCGUCUUAGUUAAUUCUGAUUGCUGAAUGUGUAUAAAUAGCUAUCGAGAGCUCACUAUCUAAAUGAAUUAGGCAAUUACAUCUCAUACAUUUCAUAGUUUCUUCUAUAAUUUCUAUCUUUCUAUCUUCUUCGUUUAAUUCUUUACAAAUUCUUCGUUAAAAGAAAAAAAAAUACGUAAGAUGUGAACGUCGAUUCUAAUUAUUUGAUGUGUCACGCACGAAGCCAAUCUUGAUUUUCAUGUAAGUUUAUCACAAGUUUGGUAUCGAAAAAUGGUCGAAUUCGAUGAGGAAUAAGAGUCUCUUUAAUGCUUGACUUAUAAGUAUCAAGAAAGUUGUAGAGUAAUAGGGGAUUUAGAGAGUUUGGAGAGCACAGUGUAUAAUUAUCGGGUGUUUAAUUAAUGUAAUGUUCAUGUGUGAGUUCUCUUAAGAUAAAAGAGAGAGAAUGUAACUCAUAAGAAGUAAACACAAUUAUAAGAGGAAUUGAGUUGACGAAAAUGUCAAGUUGAUAAUAAUAUGGUGUUCGAAUGUUCGUGUGUGAGUUCUCUUAAGACAAAAGAAAAAUGAUGUAACUCAUUAGAAGUAAACACACUUACUCAUCGAGUGUUUGUAUCAAGUUGACAAAAUACUUAAAUAUAUGUCAAGUUGAUAAUAACAUAACGUUCGUGAUGAAAAGAAUAAAAGAUAAGAGCAAUUACUGAAGAAGAGAAUAAGCUUUAUUAAAGAAAUGAAAAUGCUUCUAAGUAAAAGAAUUCGUCUCAACAACUCCACUAACUUUCUUAGCUUCUAAAUAUGAAAAAGAUAAAGUCUCUCUCUCUCUCUUUCUUGGAGUUAGGUUUCACCUUCCACGAUACAACGUUCUUUUACUUAAGCGUUAAAGAAAGUUUCCAAAGUGAUUCUAUUCACCACUGUAAGUUGUACUGAUAUAAGAGGACAUCACGGAGUGUGAGGUAGAAUGAACCCAUCAACCAAAUCACUGUCGAUAGGACCUUGAGACUCUACUACUCCUUUUACUCUCCAACGAAGCAACGAAUUGGCUCGAUCGAUUUUUCUCGCACCAUAUGAGAUGGACGAGAAUCGAUGAUAAAUCAUCAUCGAGAUUCGUAACAACAGCGAAGAACUUAAUUAUGAUCGAGCUGUGAGAAUUGAGAUUGUUCUACUGAUGUAUGUGAAGCAGUACUAUUCUCUAUCACUUGCAUACGGGGAUGUUAUCAGAAGGACCACUCACCGGAAUGCUCAGCAGAGGAAAGCUCGCUACCUUGUCGUCAACAAAGGCUGCUGUCAACAUGGGGGGAGUCGGCACGAGGCACCUAAUCGUCGGAGGAGAAUCCGACGGGGAUUUCGGGUGUCAAAUCGUUGCCAUGAUCUCCCAAGAGAACGUUUUUGUGACUGCAGAAUUGAGAUGGGCAGCGAGGAGACGCCGACGCCGACGCCGGUUUUGGCGGCACGUUUAUAGAGUUUAGGAGCUGUGAAUGGCUGGGAGAUCACGAGGACGAAGGUAUGAGGCGUGGGCUGUUUCAUCAAAGGUGUUCGACCUUUGAACAUGUGGCAGCCGAAUCCAGCGUUUGGUGAAUGACACCGAGAGGAGUUGAUGUUUUUGCUCCUUGCCGGUGCAAGGUCGGAUCCCAUGAUGGCACUGAUAUCUAGUUGUGAUGGGACCUAAUGGAUUGUUUACUAUGGAAUUAAUUCAUGAUUUUGAUGGCAUCGGAUUGGGAGAUCUUACCAUCUACGAUCUGGAUUGGUGAGACUGUCUGAUCCACCGCUGUCGUCUCUCUCGAGGCAGCAAAGGACGCUGUAAAUGCCACAGAAGAAAGCAUGAGGUGGGGGUGAAAUUGGCGAACGAGACAAGGGCAGUUGCUGCGGCAUCUUCCUCCUACAAGAAUACAAGCACGAGCGGCUUCCGCGAUGUCGUUGCCGGUUCUUGUUUGUUUGCUUCUUGGUGGUUUGGUUUCGGGCUUUUCUUGACUUUGAACUUGGACAUGGAGCAAGUCCCACCGCCCCACUCACGUAUCGGUCUCGAAAGAGACCGGUGUGAGAGUAAAUUAAGGGAGAGGGGAGAGGG